GAUGAACGCUGGCGGCGUGCCUAAUACAUGCAAGUCGAGCGAACGGACGAGAAGCUUGCUUCUCUGAUGUUAGCGGCGGACGGGUGAGUAACACGUGGAUAACCUACCUAUAAGACUGGGAUAACUUCGGGAAACCGGAGCUAAUACCGGAUAAUAUUUUGAACCGCAUGGUUCAAAAGUGAAAGACGGUCUUGCUGUCACUUAUAGAUGGAUCCGCGCUGCAUUAGCUAGUUGGUAAGGUAACGGCUUACCAAGGCAACGAUGCAUAGCCGACCUGAGAGGGUGAUCGGCCACACUGGAACUGAGACACGGUCCAGACUCCUACGGGAGGCAGCAGUAGGGAAUCUUCCGCGAUGGGCGAAAGCCUGACGGAGCAACGCCGCGUGAGUGAUGAAGGUCUUCGGAUCGUAAAACUCUGUUAUUAGGGAAGAACAUAUGUGUAAGUAACUGUGCACAUCUUGACGGUACCUAAUCAGAAAGCCACGGCUAACUACGUGCCAGCAGCCGCGGUAAUACGUAGGUGGCAAGCGUUAUCCGGAAUUAUUGGGCGUAAAGCGCGCGUAGGCGGUUUUUUAAGUCUGAUGUGAAAGCCCACGGCUCAACCGUGGAGGGUCAUUGGAAACUGGAAAACUUGAGUGCAGAAGAGGAAAGUGGAAUUCCAUGUGUAGCGGUGAAAUGCGCAGAGAUAUGGAGGAACACCAGUGGCGAAGGCGACUUUCUGGUCUGUAACUGACGCUGAUGUGCGAAAGCGUGGGGAUCAAACAGGAUUAGAUACCCUGGUAGUCCACGCCGUAAACGAUGAGUGCUAAGUGUUAGGGGGUUUCCGCCCCUUAGUGCUGCAGCUAACGCAUUAAGCACUCCGCCUGGGGAGUACGACCGCAAGGUUGAAACUCAAAGGAAUUGACGGGGACCCGCACAAGCGGUGGAGCAUGUGGUUUAAUUCGAAGCAACGCGAAGAACCUUACCAAAUCUUGACAUCCUUUGACAACUCUAGAGAUAGAGCCUUCCCCUUCGGGGGACAAAGUGACAGGUGGUGCAUGGUUGUCGUCAGCUCGUGUCGUGAGAUGUUGGGUUAAGUCCCGCAACGAGCGCAACCCUUAAGCUUAGUUGCCAUCAUUAAGUUGGGCACUCUAAGUUGACUGCCGGUGACAAACCGGAGGAAGGUGGGGAUGACGUCAAAUCAUCAUGCCCCUUAUGAUUUGGGCUACACACGUGCUACAAUGGGCAAUACAAAGGGCAGCGAAACCGCGAGGUCAAGCAAAUCCCAUAAAGUUGUUCUCAGUUCGGAUUGUAGUCUGCAACUCGACUACAUGAAGCUGGAAUCGCUAGUAAUCGUAGAUCAGCAUGCUACGGUGAAUACGUUCCCGGGUCU
rnacentral:rRNA from 1 species